UUUAAGACAAACAUAACUUUCAAAGAAUCUAUUGAAAUGCCGGGAAAGCAGCCGUGUCCGAUUAUUCGGAAACGUUGAAAAUGAAGAAAUAAACAGAAUUCUACCGAUAUUUUGGUGACAGAACAAACCGUGAAAGGGGACUACAUCGCAUUGUCCGUAAAAUACUUUUUUGCCAUACAACUCUGUACAAGUUGCUAGGGAUUUGUUUCAGUGUGCUCAUGACAGUACAUAACAAAGACCCACACAAAAGACACAAAAAACAUAGAACAUCAUUUUAUCCAUGCAGUAUCCUUCCAAGGAUCCCACUUAGAUAUGACAUAUAGGCAGAUAAAAGAAAAAGGGACAUCCCCACACAUAAGACAGAUAGCUCACUUCCACCUGGUUGACAGGCCAGGGUAAUUGCUGUAUGUUCGAUUAAAGUGACAGGUGCUUAUAGGUGCAAGUCAUGUGCAAGUUGGCAUGGAGCAAGUCAUGUGCAAAUCUGCAUAAGGUCCAAUAAAUAAGUACAUAGUUAAGAAAAACUCACAGUAUAUAAAAACAGAGGCCACUGGGGGAGUCUGCAUUCCUGAUAUACUGGUGUAGGGAUGUAGAGUUGAUAAGAGAUUUAAUGGUUCUGCAGUAUGUGCUUUUGAGGAAGCGGGAGGUUUUAGUUUUGAUGGCCCUCAACCUUCUACCUGAUGGGAGUGGAUUGAAGAGGGAGUUAGCAGGGUGUCAUUUAUCCUGAAGAGUUUUCAGGCCUCUACUGUGGAUACGGGCCUCGUAGAUGUCUGAGAUGGGAGGGAGACUGCAGCCAACUAUCUUGCAGGCCGUAUGGACAAUCCUGUCUAGUCGCAUCCUCUGCUGGACAGUAGAGUUGCCAUACCAGACUGUGAUUGAGAACGUAAGGACGCUCUCAAUGGUGGCUCGGUAGAACUGCUGCAUCCCCUUGCAGGACAUCCCAAACUUCUUUA